ACGGCCGUACCAUGCUGAAUAUACCGGUUCUCGUUAGAUCACCGAAGUUAGGCAUCAUUCAGUACAUUGGGUGACCACCUGGGAACACCGCGUGCCGUU